GAACUAUAGAGUUUGAUCCUGGCUCAGAUUGAACGCUGGCGGCAUGCCUUACACAUGCAAGUCGAACGGCAGCGCGGGAGCAAUCCUGGCGGCGAGUGGCGAACGGGUGAGUAAUACAUCGGAACGUGCCCAAUCGUGGGGGAUAACGCAGCGAAAGCUGUGCUAAUACCGCAUACGAUCUACGGAUGAAAGCAGGGGAUCGCAAGACCUUGCGCGAAUGGAGCGGCCGAUGGCAGAUUAGGUAGUUGGUGAGGUAAAGGCUCACCAAGCCUUCGAUCUGUAGCUGGUCUGAGAGGACGACCAGCCACACUGGGACUGAGACACGGCCCAGACUCCUACGGGAGGCAGCAGUGGGGAAUUUUGGACAAUGGGCGCAAGCCUGAUCCAGCCAUGCCGCGUGCAGGAUGAAGGCCUUCGGGUUGUAAACUGCUUUUGUACGGAACGAAACGGCCUUUUCUAAUAAAGAAGGCUAAUGACGGUACCGUAAGAAUAAGCACCGGCUAACUACGUGCCAGCAGCCGCGGUAAUACGUAGGGUGCAAGCGUUAAUCGGAAUUACUGGGCGUAAAGCGUGCGCAGGCGGU
rnacentral:ncRNA from 1 species